rnacentral:rRNA from 1 species
AGAACGAACGCUGGCGGCAUNNNUNAUACAUGCAAGUCGAACGAGAAAGUCACUUCGGUGGCGAGUACAGUGGCGCACGGGUGAGUAACGCGUAGAUGAUCUACCCUUCAGUCUGGGACAACUCUUGGAAACGAGAGCUAAUACCGGAUAAAACCUUCGGGUUGAAAGAUUUAUCGCUGGGGGAUGAGUCUGCGUACCAUUAGCUUGUUGGUGGGGUAACGGCCUACCAAGGCGACGAUGGUUAGCGGGUCUGAGAGGACGAUCCGCCACACUGGAACUGAGACACGGUCCAGACUCCUACGGGAGGCAGCAGUAGGGAAUAUUGCGCAAUGGGGGCAACCCUGACGCAGCAAUGCCGCGUGAGUGAAGAAGGCCUUCGGGUCGUAAAGCUCUUUUAUGGGGGAAGAUGAUGACGGUACCCCAUGAAUAAGCACCGGCUAACUACGUGCCAGCAGCCGCGGUAAUACGUAGGGUGCGAGCGUUGUUCGGAAUUACUGGGCGUAAAGGGCGUGCAGGCGGAUUGGCAAGCCGGAGGUGAAAGCCCGGGGCUCAACCCCGGAGGGUCUUUCGGAACUGCCAGUCUUGAGAGGGUCAGGGGCCAGCGGAAUUCCUGGUGUAGAGGUGAAAUUCGUAGAGAUCAGGAGGAACACCGGCGGCGAAAGCGGCUGGCUGGGGCCACUCUGACGCUGAGGCGCGAAAGCGUGGGGAGCAAACAGGAUUAGAUACCCUGGUAGUCCACGCCGUAAACGAUGGGCACUAAGCGUCCGACGGGUUCGACCCUGUUGGGUGCUGCAGUUAACGCGUUAAGUGCCCCGCCUGGGGAGUACGG